AGAGUUUGAUCAUGGCUCAGGACGAACGCUGGCGGCGUGCUUAACACAUGCAAGUCGAACGGAAAGGCCCUUUCGGGGGUACUCGAGUGGCGAACGGGUGAGUAACACGUGGGUGAUCUGCCCUGCACUUUGGGAUAAGCCUGGGAAACUGGGUCUAAUACCGAAUACACCUUGCUGGCUGCAUGGCCUGGUGGGGGAAAGCUUUUGCGGUGUGGGAUGGGCCCGCGGCCUAUCAGCUUGUUGGUGGGGUGAUGGCCUACCAAGGCGACGACGGGUAGCCGGCCUGAGAGGGUGUCCGGCCACACUGGGACUGAGAUACGGCCCAGACUCCUACGGGAGGCAGCAGUGGGGAAUAUUGCACAAUGGGCGCAAGCCUGAUGCAGCGACGCCGCGUGAGGGAUGACGGCCUUCGGGUUGUAAACCUCUUUCAGUAUCGACGAAGCGCAAGUGACGGUAGGUACAGAAGAAGCACCGGCCAACUACGUGCCAGCAGCCGCGGUAAUACGUAGGGUGCGAGCGUUGUCCGGAAUUACUGGGCGUAAAGAGCUCGUAGGUGGUUUGUCGCGUUGUUCGUGAAAACUCACAGCUCAACUGUGGGCGUGCGGGCGAUACGGGCAGACUGGAGUACUGCAGGGGAGACUGGAAUUCCUGGUGUAGCGGUGGAAUGCGCGAUAUCAGGAGGAACACCGGUGGCGAAGGCGGGUCUCUGGGCAGUAACUGACGCUGAGGAGCGAAAGCGUGGGGAGCGAACAGGAUUAGAUACCCCGGUAGUCC
rnacentral:rRNA from 1 species